AUAGAGAAAGCACAAGCAUUGUCUUAAUAUCUUCUCCAAGUUUUUGCUUCCUGCAGCUUCCAAAAGCUUGGCAUAAGCUUAGUCCUAACUCAGAAGGGAAGAAAAGAACCAAAUUGGAAUUGCCCUUCGUUGUUUUAGCCGAAGCAAAAGAAGAGAGAGAGAGAGAGAGAGAGCUUACCUCGAGCAAAGGGUUUACCAUCAGGAGUUCCUGAUUGCCAGAUCGCAGCUCAAGUUCCCUAUGGAGAAAGAUGUCAACUUUUCGCAACAAUGGAGCAUUUAGAAACUUGUGGGCAUCUGACUUGUGGAGUGAGUUACC